UUACUAGAAGAAGAAUGACCUGUCUCACAUGCACCUGGGGAUUAUUUUUGUUGCCUUUAUAAUUACCAGAGCCCUGCUAUCGAACCCUAUUUAAGCCCUAUUAAUUAAUUAGGAGCUGAUUUGGCAAACUUAAAUUAAAAUGGUUGUAGUUCCUAAAUGGUAAGGGCUACAAUAUUGAGCUUGGUGUCAUUGGAAGGAAAUUAGUUUUAAAAGAAAGAAAAAUAAAAGAAAAACAAACCUGAAAUAAUUUUUUUAUUAAACCUUCGCCUGGAUUUUUCCCUUGUAGAUAUAAGCAAAUAUCUCCCUGGUGAAUGCUAGCAGGACAAAAAAAGGUAACGUUAAUAGGUCACAACUCUGGCCUGCAUCAACCUAAAGACACCAGGGAGGACUCAUGUGAAAGCUUACAGGCUAUGAAAUUACCCUAUAAUGCUAUAUUAGCUUUCACUGUAACCUAAAAGCUUAUAUGUAACAAUCCGUGUUAAUAAUUCAUAGUUAGGAAAGUGCAGGCUCCACUUUUUGGCCUUUUGACCUGGCUGCAGACGUCUGAGCGUUUUUCGCAGAGGAGUUGGAGCAGAACAGCAUUCGGACCAGUGUGGAGUUACCGUGUGUCUUGGACCAAAACACUUUAUUGUAUUACAUUCGCUGGAUCAGAACGAAAAAACGACGUGAAUGAGCAACGUUUGGAGCUCAGAAGUCGUCAAAAUGACCAGGACUCAGAGUAAGUCUGAGACCUGGCACCCCUGAACACCAGGAUAGUGGGAGGUGUGAAUGCCUCAGCUGGUUCAUGGCCAUGGCAGGUCAGCAUCCGCUACCAAGGAGCUCACAUAUGUGGAGGGACCCUGAUCAGUGAUCAGUGGGUCGUCACAGCAGCCCUGUAAUAAUGGAGACUCUGGUGGACCGCUGCAGUGCAAACAAGGCUCAGUGUGGGUCCAGGCUGGCAUCACCAGCUUUGGACCCCAGCCCUGUGCUCUGGCUGGUUAUCCUAGCGUCUUUGCUCGGGUGUCUGCGUUCCAGUCCUGGAUCACAAAUCAAGUGUCUGGGUCCAAUGUUGGCUACUAACACAUCUGCAACGAUGUACUGGUGUUCACUAAAUGAAGGGAUUAAAAUAAAUUACAUUUCUGCAUCUCAUGACUGGAGGAACUACUGAAAAUGCUAGAAUGGAGAAGUGAAUAUUUCUUAGCAUGUUUUUUUAAAUAUUUGAACGAUCAUUUAUUCACUGUGCUAUUGCCCUUCAACUAAAACACUGAAACACUUUGACAAAGUCAAAAGUUAACAGCUGACGUGUGAGAUGAACAGUUGUGGAAUCACAUAAUGUAUUUAACAUAAUUAAAGAUAAUGUUUCUUCCCUUGAAAUGCUCGACCAGGUUUUUUUUAUAGGCUAAAAGCCCAGAAAUGAUGUUACUGAUGAUGUUAUUAACCAGCUAAAUAAAGUAUAGGCUACUUACACGUCAAGGUUUGUGGUAAAGCCUGGGCUUCAUGUGUGAUAAAAUAACUCCAAUAAAUGAAAGAAAGGGAAAGGAAGUGUGCAAAUUGUGUGAGAUUACCAAAGACACCGAGUCUUUGGCGGUCAGACAGCGUCAUAAACCCGACAAUGACACAAAUACAUUAACAAAAAUAGGAAACCAUGCAGCACGUUGGGGUGAAUAGUUUUAUUCCAUGGUAGUGUUAGAAAUGAUAUAUUGCAUUUGUUGGAAUCAAACUAAGGAAAGAACAGUCUAGGUUUUGUAAAAACAUUGAGGGAAGCGUUACCUGAAAAAGGUGUUUAAAAUAAAAUGUAAGGGAAUGGAGGCCAAACAUCUUUUUCAGAAUUUCCAGCUACACCGGCAACCUGACGGAGAGGCUUAAAUCUG